rnacentral:sRNA from 1 species
GCACUAUUUAGAUCAUCCCUGUCAAGUAAACUGUGAAGUUUUCGAGAUGUUGUUGAGGAGGUUUCCUUGGAGCAAGAGUUGGAGGAUGUUGAUGAUGCAGUAUAGUAUUUUUAGGAUUUCUAAAUUUAAGUUGAUGUUAUUUUGAAGUACUAUAAGCUGUUUAAGUUUUAAGUUCUGUCCUUUUGUGGAUGAUUGUAAUAUCAACUACUGAACUACUAUUCUACUCUUAUAUGUGGACG